CCUACGGGAGGCAGCAGUGAGGAAUAUUGGUCAAUGGACGCAAGUCUGAACCAGCCAUGCAGCGUGCAGGAAGACGGCUCUAUGAGUUGUAAACUGCUUUUGUACGAGGGUAAACGCAGAUACGCGUAUCUGUCUGCAAGUAUCGUACGAAUAAGGAUCGGCUAACUCCGUGCCAGCAGCCGCGGUAAUACGGAGGAUUCAAGCGUUAUCCGGAUUUAUUGGGUUUAAAGGGUGCGUAGGGGGUCGGAUAAGUUAGAGGUGAAAUCCCGAGGCUCAACUUCGGAAUUGCCUCUGAUACUGGUCGGCUAGAGAGUAGUUGCGGUAGGCGGAAUUUAUGGUGUAGCGGUGAAAUGCUUAGAGAUCAUACAGAACACCGAUUGCGAAGGCAGCUUACCAAGCUACGUCUGACGUUGAGGCACGAAAGCGUGGGGAGCAAACAGGAUUAGAUACCCCAGUAGUC
rnacentral:rRNA from 1 species